rnacentral:rRNA from 1 species
GACGAACGCUGGCGGCGUGCUUAACACAUGCAAGUCGAACGGAAAGGCCCUGCUUUUUUGGGGUGCUCGAGUGGCGAACGGGUGAGUAACACGUGAGUAACCUGCCCUUGACUUUGGGAUAACUUCAGGAAACUGGGGCUAAUACCGGAUAGGAGCUCCUGCUGCAUGGUGGGGGUUGGAAAGUUUCGGCGGUUGGGGAUGGACUCGCGGCUUAUCAGCUUGUUGGUGGGGUAGUGGCUUACCAAGGCUUUGGCGGGUAGCCGGCCUGAGAGGGUGACCGGCCACAGUGGGACUGAGAUACGGCCCAGACUCCUACGGGAGGCAGCAGUAGGAAAUAUUACACAAUGGGCGGAAGCCUGAGGCAGCAACGCCGCGGGCGGGAUGACGGCCUUCGGGUUGUGAACCGCUUUCGCCUGUGACGAAGCGUGAGUGACGGUAAUGGGUAAAGAAGCACCGGCUAACUACGUG